rnacentral:rRNA from 1 species
GAUGAACGCUGGCGGCGUGCCUAAUACAUGCAAGUCGAGCGAACGGACGAGGAGCUUGCUUCUCUGAUGUUAGCGGCGGACGGGUGAGUAACACGUGGAUAACCUACCUAUAAGACUGGGAUAACUUCGGGAAACAGUAUCUAAUACCGGAUGAUAUUUUGAACCGCAUGGGUCAAAAGUUAAAGACGGUCUUUCUUUCACUUAUAGAUGAAUCCGGGCUUCAUUAGCUAGUUGGGAAGGUAAAGGCUUACCAACGCAAGGAGGCAUAGCCGACCUGACAGCGUAGUCGGCCACACUGGCACAGAGACACGGUCCAGACACCUACGGGGGGACGCAGUAGGGAAUCUUCCGCAAGGGGCGAAAGCCUGACGGAGCAAAGCCGGGUGAGUGAUGAGGGUCUUCGGAUCGUAAAACUCUGUUAUUAGGGAAGAACAAAUGUGUAAGUAACUGUGAAGAUAUUGACGGUACCUAAUCAGAAAGCCCCGGCUAACUACGUG